UUAAUUGAAGAGUUUGAUCAUGGCUCAGAUUGAACGCUGGCGGCAGGCUUAACACAUGCAAGUCGAGCGGUAGCACAAGAGAGCUUGCUCUCUGGGUGACGAGCGGCGGACGGGUGAGUAAUGUCUGGGAAACUGCCUGAUGGAGGGGGAUAACUACUGGAAACGGUAGCUAAUACCGCAUAAUGUCGCAAGACCAAAGAGGGGGACCUUCGGGCCUCUUGCCAUCAGAUGUGCCCAGAUGGGAUUAGCUAGUAGGUGGGGUAAUGGCUCACCUAGGCGACGAUCCCUAGCUGGUCUGAGAGGAUGACCAGCCACACUGGAACUGAGACACGGUCCAGACUCCUACGGGAGGCAGCAGUGGGGAAUAUUGCACAAUGGGCGCAAGCCUGAUGCAGCCAUGCCGCGUGUGUGAAGAAGGCCUUCGGGUUGUAAAGCACUUUCAGCGAGGAGGAAGGUGGUGAGCUUAAUACGUUCAUCAAUUGACGUUACUCGCAGAAGAAGCACCGGCUAACUCCGUGCCAGCAGCCGCGGUAAUACGGAGGGUGCAAGCGUUAAUCGGAAUUACUGGGCGUAAAGCGCACGCAGGCGGUUUGUUAAGUCAGAUGUGAAAUCCCCGGGCUCAACCUGGGAACUGCAUUUGAAACUGGCAAGCUAGAGUCUCGUAGAGGGGGGUAGAAUUCCAGGUGUAGCGGUGAAAUGCGUAGAGAUCUGGAGGAAUACCGGUGGCGAAGGCGGCCCCCUGGACGAAGACUGACGCUCAGGUGCGAAAGCGUGGGGAGCAAACAGGAUUAGAUACCCUGGUAGUCCACGCUGUAAACGAUGUCGAUUUGGAGGUUGUGCCCUUGAGGCGUGGCUUCCGGAGCUAACGCGUUAAAUCGACCGCCUGGGGAGUACGGCCGCAAGGUUAAAACUCAAAUGAAUUGACGGGGGCCCGCACAAGCGGUGGAGCAUGUGGUUUAAUUCGAUGCAACGCGAAGAACCUUACCUACUCUUGACAUCCAGAGAACUUUCCAGAGAUGGAUUGGUGCCUUCGGGAACUCUGAGACAGGUGCUGCAUGGCUGUCGUCAGCUCGUGUUGUGAAAUGUUGGGUUAAGUCCCGCAACGAGCGCAACCCUUAUCCUUUGUUGCCAGCGGUUCGGCCGGGAACUCAAAGGAGACUGCCAGUGAUAAACUGGAGGAAGGUGGGGAUGACGUCAAGUCAUCAUGGCCCUUACGAGUAGGGCUACACACGUGCUACAAUGGCAUAUACAAAGAGAAGCGACCUCGCGAGAGCAAGCGGACCUCAUAAAGUAUGUCGUAGUCCGGAUUGGAGUCUGCAACUCGACUCCAUGAAGUCGGAAUCGCUAGUAAUCGUAGAUCAGAAUGCUACGGUGAAUACGUUCCCGGGCCUUGUACACACCGCCCGUCACACCAUGGGAGUGGGUUGCAAAAGAAGUAGGUAGCUUAACCUUCGGGAGGGCGCUUACCACUUUGUGAUUCAUGACUGGGGUGAAGUCGUAACAAGGUAACCGUAGGGGAACCUGCGGUUGGAUCACCUCCUUACCUAAAGA
rnacentral:rRNA from 1 species